GAUGAAGAACGUAGCGAAAUGCGAUAAGUAAUGUGAAUUGCAGAAUCCAGUGAAUCAUCGAAUCUUUGAACGCACAUUGCGCCCGCCAGCAUUCUGGCGGGCAUGCCUGUUCGAGCGUCAUUUCAACCCUCGACCUCCCCUUGGGGAGGUCGGCGUUGGGGACCGGCAGCACACCGCCGGCCCUGAGAUGGAGUGGCGGCCCGUCUGCGGCGACCUCUGCGUAGUAAUACAGCUCGCACCGGAACCCCGACGCGGCCACGCCGUAAAACACCCAACUUCUGAACGUUGACCUCGAAUCAGGUAGGACUACCCGCUGAACUUAAGCAUAUCAAUAAGCGGAGGA
rnacentral:misc_RNA from 1 species